rnacentral:rRNA from 1 species
GACGAACCGUGCGAACGUUAUUCGGAAUCACUGGGCUUAAAGCGCGUGUAGGCGGGCGGGCGCGUCGGCCGCUGAAAUCCCCCGGCUCAACCGGGGAAGGGGCGCCGAGACGGCCGGCCUGGAGGGACGUAGGGGGGGCUGGAACUUCCGGUGGAGCGGUGAAAUGCGUUGAGAUCGGAAGGAACGCCCGUGGCGAAAGCGAGCCCCUGGACGUCUACUGACGCUGAGACGCGAAAGCCAGGGGAGCAAACGGG